rnacentral:rRNA from 1 species
CAAUAGCGUAUAUUUAAGUUGUUGCAGUUAAAAAGCUCGUAGUUGGACUUCUGCGGGUGGCGGCCGGUCGUGCUCGAAACGGGCGUGAACUUGGCGUGCUGCCCGCAUCUUUGGGGAGAUUGUGCGUGGCAUUAAGUUGUCGUGCAUGGGAUUCUCAUCAUUUACUGUGAAAAAAUUAGAGUGUUUAAAGCAGGCCUUUGCCUUGAAUACAUUAGCAUGGAAUAAUAAGAUAGGACCGUUGUCUAUUUUGUUGGUUUACAGAUGUCGGUAAUGAUUAAUAGGGAUAGUUGGGGGUAUUCGUAUUCAGUUGUCAGAGGUGAAAUUCUUGGAUUUUCGGAAGACGCACGACUGCGAAAGCAUUUACCAAGGAUGUUUUCAUUAA